AUGUUGAUGCAAGACUACUUCACAGAGAAUCCAACAUAUCCGCCGCACCUCUUCAGUAGAAGGUACCGAAGCCGAUCUCUCUUUGUGAAAAUUGUUCAAGCUUGCGAGGCCAAUUAUCGGUAUUUUACUCAAAGAAGAAAUGCCACGGGCUUGAAGGGAUUUAGUGCAUAUCAAAUAAUCUCGGCAGCUAUGUGGGUAAUUGCAUACGGCAUUCCGGCUGACUAUGCCGAUGAGUACCUUCGCAUUGGUGAAAAUACCACAAUUGAGUUAGUGCGUAGGUUUGCCAAAGUGAUUGUCCGUGUCUUUGGUCUUGAAUAUCUUUGGGCACCCAACGAGGAAGACACAAAAAAAUUGGUGGCAUCUAAUGAGAGAAGAGGUUGGCCUGGCAUGCUAGGUAGCAUUUAUUGUAUGCAUUGGACUUGGAAAAUUUGCCCGAAGGCAUGGCAGGGAAUGUAUUGUGGCAAGUCUCAUGAUGCAACAAUUGUGCUAGAGGCCGUAGCAUGCCAGGUACUCUCAAUGAUAUCGAUGUGUUGCAACGGUCUCAUUUGUUUGCUAGGCUUGCUAGUGGUGAUGCUCCUUCUUGCAACUACACUAUCAAUGGGAAUGAAUACACAAAGGGGUACUAUCUUGUAG
rnacentral:rRNA from 1 species